GACGAACGCUGGCGGCGUGCCUAAUACAUGCAAGUCGAGCGGAUGAAAAGAGGAGCUUGCUCCUCUCGAUUCAGCGGCGGACGGGUGAGUAACACGUGGGCAACCUGCCCUGUAGAUUGGGAUAACUCCGGGAAACCGGGGCUAAUACCGAAUAAUCCAUUGGACCUCAUGGUCCGAUGUUGAAAGACGGUUUCGGCUGUCACUACAGGAUGGGCCCGCGGCGCAUUAGCUAGUUGGUGAGGUAACGGCUCACCAAGGCCACGAUGCGUAGCCGACCUGAGAGGGUGAUCGGCCACACUGGGACUGAGACACGGCCCAGACUCCUACGGGAGGCAGCAGUAGGGAAUCUUCCACAAUGGACGAAAGUCUGAUGGAGCAACGCCGCGUGAGUGAAGAAGGUUCUCGGAUCGUAAAACUCUGUUGUGAGGGAAGAACAAGUACCGGAGUAACUGUCGGUACCUUGACGGUACCUCAUUAGAAAGCCACGGCUAACUACGUGCCAGCAGCCGCCGUAAUAC
rnacentral:rRNA from 1 species